UGGAUAACUGCAAUAUAGGUUGGAACACAGG
rnacentral:piRNA from 1 species